rnacentral:misc_RNA from 1 species
AACGGUCUAUACCUGCGGUACCUGCGGAGGGAUCAUUAACGAGGAGAAUGAGUCUGAGGUGCUGGUCAGCGAGCGGUAGCGAGCUGUAAAGCGAAGCGAAGCUGAGCUGGUCAGCACCUCGACUCUACAUAAGCACCGUGUGUUGUGAGAGGGAUGUUGGGAGUAGCAGUGAGUAGCUGGGCCUAAUCGCAAGAUUGGGCGAGGACAGGCCUAGUCGCAAGACUUGGUCAGAGUGCUGGG